rnacentral:rRNA from 1 species
UACGAAGGGGGCGAGCGUUGUUCGGAAUUACUGGGCGUAAAGGGCGCGCAGGCGGCUCUGAAAGUCAGAUGUGAAAGCCCCGGGCCUUAACCUGGGAACUGCAUUUGUGACUGGCAAGCUAGAGUAUGGCAGAGGGGGGUAGAAUCCACGGUGUAGCAGUGAAAUGCGUAGAGAUGUGGAGGAACACCGAUGGCGAAGGCAGCCCCCUGGGUCAAGAUUGACGCUCAUGCACGAAAGCGUGGGGAGCAAACAGG